rnacentral:rRNA from 1 species
AGUGAACGCUGGCGGCAUGCCUAACACAUGCAAGUCGAACGGCAGCACAGUAAGAGUUUGCCCUUACGGUUGGCGAGUGGCGGACGGGUGAGGCAUACAUCAGAAACUUCUUUUUCGUGGGGGAUAACGUAGGGAAACUUAUGCUAAUACCGCAUAUUAUCUACCGGAGAAAUCAGAGGAUAUUGACACUCUUCGUGUUUCAAUUAGCCGGUGUCGGAUUAGCUAGUUGGCUGGGUAAAGGCCCACCAAGGCGACGAUGCGUAGCUGACCUGAGAGGAUGAUCAGCCACACUGGAACUGAGACACGGUCCAGACUCCUACGGGAGGCAGCAGUAGGGAAUAUUGGACAAUGGGCGCAAGCCUGAUGCAGCCAUACCGCGUGAGUGAAGAAGGCCUUCGGGUUGUAAAGCCCUUUUGUUGGGAAAGAAAAGCAGCAGAUUAAUACGCCGCUGUUCUGACGGUACCCAAUGAAUAAGCACCGGCUAACUUCGUG